rnacentral:tRNA from 1 species
AAAGGAUUAGUUAAUUCAUAACAUCAGAAUGUCAAACUGAAAUAACCAUAAAGGUAUCCUUUU